ensembl:snRNA U4 U4 spliceosomal RNA
AACUUUGCACAGUGGCAGUAUUGUAGCCAAUGAGGUUUAUCUGAGGUGCAAUUAUUGCUAAUUGAAAACUUUUCCCAAUACCCUGACAUAACUACUUGAAAUACAGUUGGCAUUGGCAAUUGACAGUCCCUAUGGAGA